CAAAAGGCGUAAGCACUGUUUGCUGAUCCUCGAAGCCAACACCCACCAAAGUCCCACAAGAAAAUCGAAUCGAAUUCAGCAGAAGAAAGAGCGAGCGAUGGCGUUGAUGAGGGGCGAGCCACUGGUGAAGAAGCUGGCCUUGCUGGCGAAGUACGUGGUUCUUCCGGGAGCCAUGGCCGCAGCUCUCGUCUACUCUCCUCCAGAUUACGCCUCUUCUUCCUCCUCCAGGUCCCAAAAGCCCUCCGAAUAGAUCCCCCUUCUAUUUCACUUCUCGGGGCAUCUUGAUCGCUUACGCAUGCAUGUCUGUAAACAUGCACUCUCUUUUUGGUAAACUUGGUAUGUAAUAAGCAUCAUGAUCGUGUAAUUGUUGAAUUUUUUGUGUAGCUAUUUGGAGAGAUGAAUGUGUGUUGUGUUUGUUUUAAGGAAUUUGGGAGCAAUUUUCUUC